UGGGGAAUAUUGGACAAUGGGCGAAAGCCUGAUCCAGCAACGCCGCGUGAGGGAUGACGGCCUUCGGGUUGUAAACCUCUUUCAGUACCGACGAAGCGCAAGUGACGGUAGGUACAGAAGAAGCACCGGCCAACUACGUGCCAGCAGCCGCGGUAAUACGUAGGGUGCGAGCGUUGUCCGGAAUUAUUGGGCGUAAAGGGCUCGUAGGCGGUUUGUCGCGUCGGGAGUGAAAACUCAGGGCUUAACCCUGAGCCUGCUUCCGAUACGGGCAGACUAGAGGUAUGCAGGGGAGAACGGAAUUCCUGGUGUAGCGGUGAAAUGCGCAGAUAUCAGGAGGAACACCGGUGGCGAAGGCGGUUCUCUGGGCAUUACCUGACGCUGAGGAGCGAAAGUGUGGGGAGCGAACA
rnacentral:rRNA from 1 species